UACGUAGGGUGCGAGCGUUAAUCGGAAUUACUGGACGUAAAGCGUGCGCAGGCGGUUUUGUAAGCCAGAUGUGAAAUCCCCGGGCUUAACCUGGGAAUGGCAUUUGGGACUGCAAGGCUUGAGUGCGGCAGAGGAGACUGGAAUUCCUGGGUGUAGCAGUGAAAUGCGUAGAUAUCAGGAGGAAUACCGAUGGCGAAGGCAGGUCUCUGGGCCGUAACUGGACGCUGAGGAGCGAAAGCAUGGGGAGCGAACAG
rnacentral:rRNA from 1 species